AUUGAACGCUGGCGGCAUGCCUUACACAUGCAAGUCGAGCGGCAGCGCGGGGGCAACCCUGGCGGCGAGCGGCGAACGGGCGAGUAAUACAUCGGAACGUGUCCAGUAGCGGGGGAUAACCUGUCGAAAGAUAGGCUAAUACCGCAUACGACCUACGGGUGAAAGCGGGGGACUCUCGGGCAACUGAGGGCCUCGCACUAUUGGAGCGGCCGAUGUCGGAUUAGCUAGUGGCGGGGUAAAGCCCGCCAAGGCGACGAUCCGUAGCUGGUCUGAGAGGACGAUCAGCCACACUGGAACUGAGACACGGUCCAGACUCCUACGGGAGGCAGCAGUGGGGAAUUUUGGACAAUGGGGGCAACCCUGAUCCAGCCAUGCCGCGUGAGUGAAGAAGGCCU
rnacentral:rRNA from 1 species